rnacentral:misc_RNA from 1 species
GAUGAAGAACGUAGCGAAAUGCGAUAAGUAGUGUGAAUUGCAGAAUUCAGUGAAUCAUCGAAUCUUUGAACGCACAUUGCGCCCUUUGGUAUUCCUUAGGGCAUGCCUGUUCGAGCGUCAUUUAAACCUUCAAGCUCAGCUUGGUGUUGGGUGACUGUCCGCCGCCUCCGGGCGCGUGGACUCGCCUCAAAAUUAUUGGCGGCCGGUACAUUGGCUUCGAGCGCAGCAGAAACGCGAACUCGGGCCCGUCGUAUUGGCUCCCAGAAGCUAUCUUCACAAUUUUGACCUCGGAUCAGGUAGGGAUACCCGCUGAACUUAAGCAUAUCAAUAAGCGGAGA